rnacentral:RNase_P_RNA from 2 species
GGUUCGUGGUUGACGAUCGCGUAGGAGUAAUCCUGCGAGGAAAGUCCGAACAUCUUCCCGACUUAGUCGGGAAAAGUGACAGUGGGUAACGCCCACCAUUUGGGCUGUGAAGUCCAAAGCGGGAUAGCGGCACAGAGACAAUACUAGCGAAGCGGUCGGUGGACAGCAAUGUCUCCCGGUAGUUCGCGAAAGGUGAAAAGUGUAUGGAGGUUUUAGAUCUCGAGUCUAAAGUUACUAUACUCUCCCGAUAGUGAUAUCGGGACGUGCCAAGCCCUGUCUGAUGCAAGAGCAGUGUUCCGGCCAAAGGCCGGUUCAAAAAGUUCGCUCGCAUUGAUCGCACUGGCAACAGUGUGACUAGAGAAAUGAUCGUCGUCCACCUCUGGUGGAUUACAAAAUUCGGCUUAUAACCACGAAUAAAAA